rnacentral:rRNA from 1 species
CUGGCUCAGAUUGAACGCUAGCGGGAUGCCUUACACAUGCAAGUCGAACGGCAGCACGGACUUCGGUCUGGUGGCGAGUGGCGAACGGGUGAGUAAUGUAUCGGAACGUGCCCAGUAGCGGGGGAUAACUACGCGAAAGCGUAGCUAAUACCGCAUACGCCCUUAGGGGGAAAGCAGGGGAUCGCAAGACCUUGCACUAUUGGAGCGGCCGAUAUCGGAUUAGCUAGUUGGUGAGGUAAUGGCUCACCAAGGCCGCGAUCCGUAGCUGGUUUGAGAGGACGACCAGCCACACUGGGACUGAGACACGGCCCAGACUCCUACGGGAGGCAGCAGUGGGGAAUUUUGGACAAUGGGGGAAACCCUGAUCCAGCCAUCCCGCGUGUGCGAUGAAGGCCUUCGGGUUGUAAAGCACUUUUGGCAGGAAAGAAACGGCGCGUGCUAAUACCAUGCGCAACUGACGGUACCUGCAGAAUAAGCACCGGCUAACUACGUGCCAGCCGCCGC